rnacentral:rRNA from 1 species
UACAGAGGUGGCAAGCGUUGUUCGGAAUUACUGGGCGUAAAGGGCGCGUAGGCGGUUCGUCAAGUCCUGUGUGAAAUCCCCCGGCUCAACUGGGGAACUGCACAGGAAACUAGCGGGCUUGAGUUCGGGAGAGGGAAGCGGAAUUCCGGGUGUAGCGGUGAAAUGCGUAGAUAUCCGGAGGAACACCGGUGGCGAAGGCGGCUUCCUGGACCGGCACUGACGCUGAGGCGCGAAAGCUAGGGGAGCAAACGGG